UGGUCCUUGUGCUGCUCUGGCCAUUUUGUUCCUUAAAGGACAGAAGAGCGAGCAAGGGGGAUGGUAUAUCAACUGGAAAACGGCAAGUCCUGGAUGCUGAGUGGUGUCAAAAGGUUUGGUGACUUACACUUGCGAUGCUUGAGCUCGGGAAGUCUAGAUGAAUGUAGUCCUCACCCCUCGUCAAGGAAACUUCUCAACAGAUGGAGACAAUUACAGAAAACCACAACCAAUCAAAGUGCAGAGUGUGGAGCUCAGUCCCAAUGGACACAUUUAUACAGGGAACCAUGGAGCUGGCCUGGCCUAGCUGCCUCGAGAGGUAUGCAUCACAGGGUUUGCAGGUUAGAGUCCGUGGCUCCUGGAGCACAAUGUACCUUCCAGUUCCUGAGAGACCAAUGCACUCCCGCGGGCAGCAAAGCACUGCUUUGUGUUUCUCUGUACGUUCCCUUAGUAGUCAAGGAAGCAUGAAGGCUUGACAGGACAACUGAUAUUAGACAUUAACCUUGUGUACCCUGUAUGACUUGCAAACGUCACUGUAUCCUGGCAACUACAGCUGUAUGAUCCUGGCAAUUGUCAUUAUAGUCUGUAUCUGAUAAAGGUACAAAUAGUCUGAUUGCUCUCAAUAAAAUUGUCACAGGCUCAGUUGUGCUGUGGCCCCUCCAA